rnacentral:lncRNA from 1 species
UGAAACUAAUUUGGAUAACUGGUAAGUGUGGGAGUUACCACGCUAUACCAUAAUUUACUGCCUGAAUUGUAAACCGAAAAAUCUGUACCGCCUAGCUCUUUUACAACUUUAUUUAUACUGAAACUAAUUUGGAUAACUGGUAAGUGUGGGAGUUACCACGCUAUACCAUAAUUUACUGCCUGAAUUGUAAUUCGAAAAAUCUAUACCGCCUAGCUCUUUUACAACUUUAUUUAUACUGAAACUAAUUUGGAUAACUGGUAAGUGUGGGAGUUACCACGCUAUACCAUAAUUUAUUGCCUGAAUUGUAGACCGAAAAAAUCUGUAC